AAAAAAAUAAGUUGUGGGUUACCCUGUGCUUCAAAAAACACCAUAGAGCCCUAUGCUCUACUUAGUUUUUCAAUGAAUAGAGAGAAAAAAGAGAAAAGAGAAAAGAAUAAGGAGAAAAAAAACUAUUUUUACGUUUAGGAAAAACAUGGAGAGAAACAAACGGAAGCAUCCUUCUAAAAUAAUCAUUUCUUUUAUUUACAAGUGUCAUCAGGUCGGAAUCGGGCAGGUUUUCAAAAAUCCAAAUUCAAACCCGGCUACAAACCUGAAAUGCAAAUCCGAACCCGAAUUCGACGGAUUUUAAAAAUCCAUAUCAAAAUCUGAACCUGAAUCUAACGGAUUUUAAAAAUCCAUAUCAAAUCCGAACCUGACCAAAAUAUCAGAAACCCAAACCUAAAUCCGAACACGAAUCCGAUAACCCGAACCUGAAAUAAUUAUUUUAAUUUCUUUACCAUAUUUCAAAAUAUAUUAUAUGAAAUCUAUAUAUAUUUUAAAUACAAAUUCAAAUAUAACAUCAAACAUACAUAUAUAUAUAUAUAUAGAGAGAGAGAGAGAGAGAGAGAGAGAGAUAGAGAGGGAGAGAGAGAGUUCGGCUACAAUACUAUUAGUAGCACGGAGGCCUCUGUAAUACCAAGUUGUUUUUGAUGCUGUGGCUUCCGAAUCGAUGAUCGACUCUAUUAGAUAUGAUCUACGCUAUUGGAAAUAUUUUAAAACUAAAUUAUAUAUUUUUUCGACAUUAUUUGACUAGUGAUCAAAGGGUCUCAAAAUUGACAAUUAUAAUGGCCGAUGCGAUGUGUUUGUGAAUUUAAUGAUAUAAAAUAAUCUAAAUCAGACAAAAUUUUUAUAGAAAAUUCUUUUUAUUAUUUAGAGUAAGAUCUGUACCUCUAAUUUUAAAUUCAAGUCUUUUAUCAUCAUUUUUUAUGAAGAUUUUAGACUAUUCAUUUGAUACGUAAAUAAUGUCUAAAAAUUAUGAAAUGUGAUUUCGUAACACUUUUAGUAGUGUAUACCAAGUAUAACAAAGACGAUCGUCGAUUCGGAAAAUGCAUCAUCGAAAAACAACUUGAUAGCACUAAGACCUCCGUGCCAUCGAUAGUAUAGUAGUCGGACUAUAUAUAUAGAGUUGAGUUAGAAUACUCUCAAAAGCACCAAGAGGGUGGUGCUUUUGAGUUUUUAGCCAUUGGAUGGAGAGAUAUAAGGUUGGGAUGAUGGUGGUAGGUAAUGGUAGGUGGUGGUAGGUGGAAUAGUGUUUAAUCCAAGGGCCAUUGGUUGAAGAUGUGUGGUUAGAAUGAUAGUGGUCCCUUAGGGUUGAGUGGGUGGUUGGUUGAAUAGUAUGAUUUAACAGGUGAAAAUGAUCAAAAGGGUAGAUCUAACGGCGAAAAACUAAUGAGUACAAAGAAACUUAUACUCAUAAAAGUAUAGUAGCCGGACUAUAUAUAUAUAUAUAUAUAUAUAUAUAUAUAUAUAUAGAAUAUAUAUAUAUAUAUAUAUAUAUAUAUAUUGAUCCAACCUUAUGAUAAUUAUCGUGGUUACUGAACCACGAUAAUUCAAAAGACGGGAAUCUAAUUUUCUACACACCAAUCCUUUACUACACUCAGGGGGAUCCCAACUCACCCACCAACCAACUUAUUAUAUUAGCUUGCCUACUUUUACUAUUUUUUCCAUUUAGAUUGCCGUUUUUUGAACUAUCGUGUUUAACUGAACCACGAUAAUUCAAAAGACGGGAAACUAAUUUUCUGCACGCCAAUCCUACUAUACUCGGGGAAUCCCAACUCACCCACCAACCAACUUAUCAUAUUAGCUUGCCUACUUUUACUAUUUUUUCCAUUUAAAUUGCCGUCUUUUGAACUAUCGUGUUUUACGAAGCACGAUAGCUAGCUAUCAUAGGGUAGACNNNNNNNNNNNNNUAAUCUAGAGUAUUUGAAGUACCUAGAAAUAAAUUUUGUGAUUUUUCGAUACCAUUUGCCUAGUGAUCGAAGGGGCUCAAAAUUAAUAAUUUUAAUGAUCGUGGUGAGCCGUUUGAAAGUUUAACAGUGUAGAAAUAUUCAAAUCAUAUAAAAUUUUGAUAGAAAAUUAUUUAUACUAUAAUAAAACAAGAUUAAAAUCUUUAAUUUAAAAUUUUAAUAUCAUAUCAUCACAUUUUGUAAGAUUUUUAUUUUCAGCCGUUGAUUUUGAGCCACUUCGAUCACUAGGCAAAUGAUAUCGAAAAACCGCAAAAUUUAUUUUCUAGGUACUUUAAAUAUUCUAAAUCAAGUCUAACGGAGCCGAUCGUCGAUUCGAAAGUCCCAACAUUGAAAACGACUUGGAAGCACGGAGAGUUCCGUGCUUCUAGAACCAUACCAGCCUCACUCUCUCUCUAUAUAUAUAUAUGGAGCACAGCUACUGUACUUUCAGAAAUAUAAAGGAGUUAGUGCUUCCAACCUUUUGGGCCUUGGAUCAACUUUUUUGACUAUUUCUGACCUAUUUUCUCCUCUUUUCUUUUCAUAACCCAAACGAUAAAAUAAAAAUUUACUUUUCUUUUUUCUUUUCUCUCUAUCCAAAUAAAGCAUCAGUUUUUUCCCAAUAAAAUAUGUGCCCUAUCAUAGAUUUGUUGCUUAGAAAACAUUAGAAUUAAAAAGACCCAUUUGAAUUUUUUUUAUAAAUAAUCUUACUGAAAAUUUUAUUUAUAAAAAUAGGCCUCCUUUAAAGUUUAUUGCAAAAUUAGUCCUCAAAUAGGCCAGGUCAGCUUGGGGGGUACAACGUUUAUAUGCGAUGAAUGGUUCACCGCAUUCACGUAUGCGUUGAACCAUUCACCGCAUUUGUGGGCCUAUGGUACAGCCGAUGAAAAAUGAAGAAUGCGGUAAAUGGUACAGCCGCUUUUAUAUACGAUGAGUCAUCCACCGCCUUUAUAAGUUUUAUCCAUGUCCAACUGUUGCAGGGGAACUACAUGAAGGCAGUGAAUGAUUCACUACCUUCAUAGAAUUUUUAAAUCCUUAUGAAAGCGGUGAACCAUUUACCGCUUUUAAGUGAAAGCGGUAAAUGGUUCACUGCUUUUAUUCUCUCUCGCCACCUCACUGCCUACAUGGCAGUUUUGAACCUAUUUUCGCAAAUACAAAUUUCAGAGGCUUAUUUUUAAAAUAAAAGAGUUGGAUGAGACUAGUUGGCUAAAAAUUCCGACCCAUUUGGCAAUUAUAGUAAUUCUUAUUUGUUUGUAAUUUAGAAGAGGGAAUUGCCUUAUUAGUCACUAAACUUUUAGUCGAGUUUCAUUUUGGUCCUCAAACCUUUGAUUUCAGCAUUCAAGACCCUAAACUUUUGAUAACAUUUCAAUUUAGUCCUUAAACUUUGAAUGGUAUUUGGAAUGUACGAAAACUGAGUAUAGUAUAUCGAACUUUAUCCAAAUUAAUAUAGUACGAAUUAAAGCCAUACUAGACAUGAUUAAAAUAUAUUGAAGAAACUUAGCUGAGUUUGAAAUGAGUUAGAAACAAUUUGAAUUGAAACGGAGUUUCGAAAGAAGUAGAAAUAUCGUUGUAGACUUUCUAGAUGCCUGAAAAGCAUUUCAGGCGCUCGAAAUCUUUUGGAUAGCCCAGUCAAGCAUCCAAUUCAAGCCAACGCUCUACCAGAAAGUAAGGAAAUAUGGAGGAAUAAACAUUCGGGUGUCUAAAUUAUCCUAUAGGCAUCCGAAAUACCUUUCGAAUUGCACCUGCGGGCACCAAAAACCACUUCCAGAUGCUCAACUCAAGAGGAGGGAUCGCUUGGCUCGUUAAUUAUUUGGGCACCCGGUUUAGUUUUGUCGGCAUACGAAAAGAGGUAUCAGGCAGUUGAACGAACAUUUGGAACAACUUUCAAAUAUUAAACCAGAAGACUUUGGAGUUGUUGCCUAAAGCUUUCGAGCACUCGAAAGAUCAAGCUAGCACCUGAAACCUAGUAUAGAGGUAGCAAUUCGUUCAGUUGUAAAUACAAAUACGUGGAGGGUCAAAGUGUAAUUAUAGCACUCCUAUAAUUAAGUAUGCCUUUAUAGUCAACCCCUUUCCCACACUCUAAUUUCCCCAUUCUUUCUACUUUCUAUUUCUAAAAAAUGAGAAAGGAACCCUAAUGCUACUGUUGUUGGGUCUUGGAGCUCUACCUUCUUGCAAGCUUGGAGAAGACAAGAACACUUUGGAAAGAGCUCUAGAAGGGUGAAGGCAAACUUCCGAACUCUAUUUCUCUUCUUUUGAAGGAGAGGAGGUGAGUCGGAGUUUCUAGAAUUUACUUUGAGGUUUUUUCCAAAUAAGUGUUUGGAGGUCCUAACUUGGUUAGAACUCCAUCUGUAGGAUUUCGUAGGAGCCUCAAGAGCUUAAUGAAUUACUCUAAGAAGGGUUCAACAUCGUACUAGGUAAGGUGCGAGCUUGAUCAGACCUCGAGUCGGUCGAAGUGAUUGGCUAAUGAGUGGUCAACUAUGUAUUCAUGAAAAGUAAUCCAUAUAGAGAUAGCAAUUGACAUACUCCAUUAUUGUAGAGGCAUAAUAGCAAACUUUCCUUUUUAUGGGCGUAUGUUAUUUUCAUACCUAAUAUUUGAUAUUUCAUUAUUAUACCUCUAGUUGACCUAGUGGAUAGAGCAUUCCUUACGACAAUUAUACUCACUAGUCUAGGGAUUAUUUCAUAUAGUUUUCACACCCUAUUUUCGCUUCUCUUUCAGAGUUCCCUUCCUUCUUCAUUAGUGAUCAUGUUAAGGGCGUGCCAUAGCUACCUUCUCACCUACCAUCUUUGUGUUGUUUAGAGGUGGAAUCUUUAUGUCAAAACAUUAGUAUUUUAGAGAAUUGCAAUAUUUUGAUGAUACUUUUAGACAUUGAAUGGAACUUGUAUUUGUAAUAGAAUAGAAGUAUGCUUUUAUACUCCAACUCGAGUGAAAUUCUUAUGUAUUUGUAUGAGUUGAAGGCUGUCGUUUGUCGCUUCAUAUUUAUGGGGGCCCUAUGCACAUGCAUAGUGGAUCUGGCCACGCUACCAAGGGUGCUUCCACUCAAGCCUAAUGCGUGACAUUCACUACCAUGCCCCUACUAUGGCUCCCACGAUAAUGCCGGCCAUUGGAGUGGCUAAGGACCAAUCAACUCGGAAGGGAUUGGUGGGAGGCUAGCGAGGAGGAACCAGAGGUAAAGAAAGAGAUGGGAGGGAGAGAAUGAGAAAAAAAGUGAGAAUAAAAGAAAUAAAGCGUUUUGACUGAGAGAAGGUGAAAAGCGGUGUGGAUCGAAAAUGAAGUUGCAGGAGAAGGAGAUGAAGAAAGAAGAGGAAAAGAGAAAGAGGGGGGGGGGAGAAAAAGAGAGAGAGGGAGAAGGUGGAGGGAAAGAGUGGCGGGCGGGCAAAAAGAGAGUGAAAGUGAGGGGGGUAUAUAUAUAUAUAGAGGGGAAGGGAAGGCCAUGCAUUCUCAUGUGCUCUCGCAUGCUAAUUAUAGGAUAGGCAAAGAGGGAAAAGACAGAAGUAGGGACGGAGUAAGCAAAGCUAUUAGCCGGUCGGCCGACCAGCCCUUCGUGGUCAAUUGUAAGGUUGCAGGCCGAAGUUAAAAAAAUCUAAAAUUUUAAAUUUUAAGAAAAAUAAAUAAAAAAUGAUCUAAAAUUUCAAAAGAUGGGGGAUCUAAAGUUUUACAUGUUACAAUCAACUUGCCACAAAGUGAACACAGUGGAUAGAAAUUUUUAAUUCAAGAUUAGAGUUGUUUGUCAUAUUUUAAAUUGUUAAAAUAUUUUUUUCAAGAAAACUUCAACUAAUUUAGAAUAUUCUACAUUUUUAAAUGAGAAAACACUCUGUACAGGACGUUUAAAAUUAUCACUUUUGAAUACGCUUGACCGCUAGGUAAAUAAUAUCGAAAAAUUCCAAAAUUUGACAAGUAAAAAUAUUUAAAUGUUCCAAAUCUUAUUUAACCGUAUCAACCACGAAAACAAAUCUUCAAACAUCAAAUCAACUUUUAUAGCAUGAAGAGUCUACUGCUAUUAAUAGCAUUCCAGCCUAACUCUGUACUCUAAUAAUUCAAACAUAAUAUUUAUUUAAAAGAUAUACCAAAUAAAAUACUCGCGCAUUAAACAAAGGCUACAAUAUUGGGCUCACUUCUAGAUUCUAGAACAUUUUGGGGAAGUAAUUUGGUAGGAUAUAUAUACUUCAUUACCUCCCUUCUACUUUAUUUUGUCCACAUCAUCCUCCACCACAUCCAUUAACCCAACCACCACACAACACGCUUGAGACCAAAAACUUUCCGUUUGAUUGCAUGAAGUGUCAAACCCUAGCUAGGAUUUGUCUCGGUCUUUUUUAAUGAAAGAUUUGCUUAGGUCACUUGUGUUCGAUCUACUUUAUAUAUAUAUAUUAAAGAGAAAAGGAUAGGUAUUAUUAUUAGUGGUCUUUUUUUGGAAUGCUUUUGUAGUAGCUUUUACAUAAUUUAUUGAAAAUGGAUAGUUGAUUUGAGUCUAAUCUAAUGAGUUUGUUUUUGCUUGAGUUAUAAGCUUGACAUAAUAUAUUAGCUUGGUGUUAUCAUGUCUUGUAUUAUAAUGCGUGAUCUUUUUUUUUUCCGGUAAGUAGUAUUAUUGUACUUUAAUUAAUUUAUCUUCCUUUUAUUAAAGUGCCGAAAUUUAGGACACGUGUCCAGUAAAUCAAAUAUUAAAGGAUAUAAUAAUAUAAUAAUAUAUAUAUAUAGUGAGACUGGUAUGCUUCUGGAAUAAGAAAGCUUUCCGUACUUUCAAAUCAUUUUCAAUGUUGAGACUUUCGAAUUGACUAUCGUCUCCGUUAGAUUUGAUCUAGAGUACGUAGUUGAAAUACCUAGAGAAUAAAUUUUGCGAUUUUUCGAUAUCAUUUGCCUAGUGAUCGAAGGGGCUCAAAAUCAACGACUGAAAAUAAAAAUCUUACAAAAUGUGAUGAUAUUAUAUUAAAAUUUUAGAUCAAAGAUAUUGAUAUUAUUUUAUAUAGUAUAAAAAAUUUUCUAUCAAAAUUUCACAUGAUUUGGAUAUUUCUAUACCGUUAAACUUGCAAAUGGCUUACCGUCGCCAUUAAAAUUAUUGAUUUUGAGCCCUUUCGAUCACUNNNNNNNNNNNNNNNNNNNNNNNNNGCUAGGUCUGAAUACUAUUCUUUUACUAUCAAUUUUUAACUAUUGAAUGAAAAAUAUAAUGUUAGAUGAUAUUAGUCUUAAGGUUAGUGAUCCUACUGAUUAUAAUAUUAUCCAUAUGGUAUAGAAUGAGAAAGUAAUUAUCCAAAGGCUAAAAAUUUGAUAGUAAAAAAGACAUUUACCUAUAAAUAGUAUUCAGCUCUCUCUCUCUCUCUCCUCUCUCUCUCUCUAUAUUAUACUAAAUAAUAUAUUAAAUGAAAUUGGGUUAAAUAGUAUUAAUAAUAAUUUGGACCUUUUCUGCUAUCGAUUUUUAACACUUGAAUGAAAAAAUUACGUAGGGUUAAGAUAUAGCGGUCCCUAGGGUUUAGUGUGGUCCGAUAGGGUUUGAGAAUAGUGUUUGGUUGAAUAAUAUAAUCUAAAAGGUGGAGUUGAUACAUCUGUAGAUCUAACUACUAAAAAAAUCGAUAGCAAAAAAGUCAAAUAAUAUAAUAUAUUCUACUCAUUCUCUCUCUCUAUAAUAUACAUAUAUUAGAGCUACAUGCUUUUUGAAGUAUAGAGUAGACGUUUUGGUGCUUCUACUUUUUAAGCCUUUCGAUCAACCCUUUAAUCAUUUUUGACAUUGGAUUAAAUUAUACAUAAGGGUACCACUUUAACUAUCAUGAGAUGGGAACCACUAUCAUCUACGACCCUAAUAUCCUUUAAUCAACAAUCCAACAAAGUCGGAAGCAUCAUCUCUCUUUAUAACUUCAAAAGUAUAUAUACCUACACUAUAUAUAUAUAUAUAUAUAUAUAGUAUAUAUAUAUAUAUAUAUAUAUAUAUUAUAUAGAGUUUCUGUAUGCUUAUGAACACGGAGGCCUCCGCGUGCUUCCAAGUCGUUUUCGAUGUUCGGACUUUCGACAAUCGACGAUGCGCUCCGUUAGAAUUGAUCUAGAGUAUUUGUAAGUACCUAGAAAAUAAAUUUUGUGAUUUUUCUGAUAUCAUUUGCCUAGUAAUCGAAGGGGCUCAAAUCAAUAAUUUUAUACGACUGUGGGGGCCGUGCAAGUAACGUGUAAAAAUCCAAAUCAACAUAAAAUUGAUAGAAAAUUUUUUAUACCAUAAUAAAAUAAAUCAAUAACUUGAUCUAAAGUUUUAAUGUCAUUAUCAUCAUAUUUGUUAAGAUUUUAUUCAGGCCGUGAUCAUUAUGAGCCACUGACAUCAGCAAAUGAUGUUCGAAAAAUCGUAAAAUUUAAAAUUUCUAGUACUUCAAAUACUCCUAGAUCAAAGUCUAACGGAGCCGAUCGUCGAUUCGAAAGCUCCAACAUGAAAAAGAAACAACUGUUAAGAAGCACGUGCUUCCAUAAGCAUAACUAACCGCGCUCCUCUCUCUCUCAUCUCUCUCACUCGCCUCUCCUCUCUCUCUCGAGGUCAUCAUCUCCUCGGGCGGGUCUCCUCCCCACCUCCUCUCUCCUCUCUCCCUUUCUCUCUCCUUCUAUAUAUAAUUAUAUACCAUUAUAAUAUAUUAUAUAUAUAUAUGAAGAGCUCACUAUGCUAUCGGAAGCACUGACUCGUGCUUCAGCUCGUUUUUGAAUGUUGCGACUUUCGAAAAUCGCGAUCAGCAUCCGCUAAACUUGAUCUAAGAGUAUUUGGAGUACCUUAGAAAAUAAAUUUUAUUUAUUUUUCAUAUCAUUUGCCUAGUGAUCGAAAUGGCCAAUAAUCAACAAAUUUCAAUGCCGUAGGAGGCCACUUCAAUUUAACGGUGUAGAAAUAUCCAAAUCAUGUGAAAUUUUGAUAGAAAAUUCUUUAUACUAUAUAAAACAAGAUCAAUAUCUUUGAUUUAAAUUUUAAUCGUCAUAUAUUCACAUUUUGUAAGAAUUUUUAUUUUCCAGCCUGUUGAUUUUGAGCCCCUUCGUUCACUAUGCAAAUGAAUAUUCGUAAAAUCAUAAAUUUAUUUCAGUACUUAAAAUACUCUAGAUCAAAUUUAACGGAGCUGAUCGACGAUUCGAUAAGUCCACAUCGAAAACGAUACCUGAACACCGAAGCUCCUGACUUCCGAUAGGCAUAGUACCUCACUCUAUAUUAUAUAUAUUAUAUAUAUAUAACUAUAUAUAUAGGAUAGAGAGAGAGAGAGAGAGAGAGAGAGAGAGAGCAGUAAGGCUUCUAUGGCUUCUAACACACGAAUUCCUCCGCGCUUCCAAGUCGUUUUCGAUGUGGACUUUCGAAUUGAUCGCCUCCAUUAGACUUAUUAAAGUAAUGAAUACUUAGAAAAUAAAUUUUGUGAUUGAUAUCAUUUGCGGGCUAUAGGUGGAGUUGAUUACAUAGUAGCUCUAAUAUAUGUAUAUCUAUAGAGAGAGAGAAUUGAGCUAGAAUACUAUUAAUAUUAUUUGGACUCUUUUUGCUAUCGAUUUUUUAGUAGUUAGAUCUACAAUGUAAUCAACUCCACCUUUUAGAUUAUAUUAUUCAACCAAACACCUAUUCAACCCUAUCGGACCACCACUAAACCCUAGGGGACCGCUAUCAUCUUAACCCUACAAAUUUUCAUUCAAGUGUUAAAAACUCGAUAGCAGAAAGUCCAAAUAUUAUUAAUACUAUUUAAGCCCAAUUUCAUUUAUAUAUAUAUAUAUAUAUAUAGAGAGAGAGAGAGAGAGAGAGAGAGCUAGAAUACUAUUUAUAGUAAAAGGUCUUUUUUACUAUCAAAUUUUUAGCCUUUGGAUUAAUUACUUUCAUCAUUUCUAACCAUUGGAUAAAAUAUUAUAAUCCAGUAGGGAUCACUCAACCUUAAGGGACUAAUAUCAUCCUAACCUUAUAAUUUUUCAUUCAAUAGUUAAAAACUUGAUAGUAAAAGAAUAGUAUUCCAGACCUAGCUCUCNNNNNNNNNNNNNNNNNNNNNNNNNNNNNNNNNNNNNNNNNNNNNNNNNNNNNNNNNNNNNNNNNNNNNNNNNNNNNNNNNNNNNNNNNNNNNNNNNNNNNNNNNNNNNNNNNNNNNNNNNNNNNNNNNNNNNNNNNNNNNNNNNNNNNNNNNNNNNNNNNNNNNNNNNNNNNNNNNNNNNNNNNNNNNNNNNNNNNNNNNNNNNNNNNNNNNNNNNNNNNNNNNNNNNNNNNNNNNNNNNNNNNNNNNNNNNNNNNNNNNNNNNNNNNNNNNNNNNNNNNNNNNNNNNNNNNNNNNNNNNNNNNNNNNNNNNNNNNNNNNNNNNNNNNNNNNNNNNNNNNNNNNNNNNNNNNNNNNNNNNNNNNNNNNNNNNNNNNNNNNNNNNNNNNNNNNNNNNNNNNNNNNNNNNNNNNNNNNNNNNNNNNNNNNNNNNNNNNNNNNNNNNNNNNNNNNNNNNNNNNNNNNNNNNNNNNNNNNNNNNNNNNNNNNNNNNNNNNNNNNNNNNNNNNNNNNNNNNNNNNNNNNNNNNNNNNNNNNNNNNNNNNNNNNNNNNNNNNNNNNNNNNNNNNNNNNNNNNNNNAUAUAUAUAUAUAUAUAUAUAUACACGUGUAUAUAUAUAUAUAUAUAUUCGAGCUUUUCGAGCUUAAUUCGAACGAGCCGAGUAAUACUCAAGCUCGGCUUGAUAUAAAUUUAGAGCUUUUUUUUUUGUUCAAGUUUGGCUCAUUUAAUUUCGAGCCAAGCUCGAGCGAGCCGAAUUUCCAGCCGAAUGCGAGACGAACGCGAGCCGGCUCGCUCAUUUGCCAACCCUAAUCAUGCGGGCGCCUGUGUGCGUGCGCAUACACACAUACGAGAAAGUUUAUUAUAUGACAGUCACACAAUAUCAUUUACAAUUAGUCAAUCAUAAUUUUUCUUAUGUGAUAAAAGUUUAAAAUAUUUUUUCCUUAAAUUAUGAUAAGAUGGAUAAAAUUCAGAAAUAUAUUUUGAUUGGUUAAAAAUAUCAUGUCACUAACAUGACCAUUAUAUUCUAGACUUUUUUCACGCGCACACAAAUCUGAAUACUUUUCACCAAUAAAUGGAAAGAAAAAGAAUGAGUCAAUUUAAAAAAAAAAAAGAAAGGACAGAAAAGACAGCAUUGAGCGAGUCAAGCUAGUCAACAUGGCCGACAAUAUUGUCACAACCAUGUCAAACGAUUGGUGGCCGCUCACAUCAUUUUAUAGCUAAAAGGGCAAUAUUGUAAUUUUGGUGUGUUAUUGUGUCAAUUUUGAGUUUGGGUUUCAAAAAAAAAAAAAAAAAUCUAAUAAAUUUGAUAAAUACAUAAAAUAAACAAAGGGAUGUAGAGGAGGGGAUUUCAAGUGUUAGGGUUAUGUUUCUUUCAACAACCAAUUUAAAUCCUGUUAGUUUUAGGAUCCACGUUUUAAGAUCAAAAUAUAAUAAAAAAUAAUUCCUAAUUAAAAAUUUGAAUAAAUUUAUGUAUAAUCAUUAUUAAUCAGUGUACAAUUCUUUUCUUAAAGAAUAGUAUCUAACGUACCCUUCAAACAGUUUUCUAUAAUCACUUCAGAAAGAUUGCUUUUCUGUUGGAUUCGAUCAAACGCUUUAUAAUUUUUUAACUAAAAUUAAUUUGGCAGAAAUCAAUUUUUUAAAACUUAUGCCAAAUAGCUCCAAUGUCAUAAGAGAAAUCUAUGUAAUAUUUGUGACACGUAGGAUAAGAAAGGGACACGAAAAUCAUAUUCUUGCUUAUAUUUUAUGGAAUCCAUUCUUGCCUAUAAUAUAACUCCUUGUCACUGUCUUCUCCAGUUUCCCCGGCCUUGCAGAAAUUUUUUUUUUGAUUUUUAUAUACAUAUUAAAAUCAUUUUAUGACAGCUAUAAACUCAUCAUUUAAAGUAUAACAUAAGUAAUUGCUAAAAGCUUAAAAAAUCAAACAUCAUAAAACUAAUAAAUUGUGUAAUAGCUUCAAAUUUUCAUUCACAUUUCAUAAACCUGGUAUAUUAAUGAUAUUUAUAUUAUUUUAUACACGUAAGUAUCAUUCUAUAUUUUAAGUAUUAUAUAUAUGACAAGCACAAUAUAUAUAUUUUACACAUUUUACAGUGAUAGAUCCUGCCAGGAGGGAUUUAGACUCCGUAGGUACAGGAUCCUCACGGGGACCCAAAUUUGCAAGAACAUAUGUAAUUUUUAGAAAAAACUUAAAAUACCACCCAUAUUAUUUCACACUUUCUUACUUUAAUAUUUUAUAAUUUAAAGUGUAUCAAUUUAGUACCAUGUGAUUUUAUUUAUAUUUUUUUUAUUAUCGAUUUCACUAUUUUUUUUCAUUAAAUUAGUGACAAAAUUAAAACUAAAUGGUACUAAAGUGAAUAUCUGAUAGACCUAGGUGGGUAUCUGAAGUUUUUUUUUAUAUAUAAUUUAACGAAAUAUUAACAAAAAGCUGACGAAAAGAUAAAAAUAAAACCACAUGACACUAACUUGAUACACUUUAAAUCACAUGGCACUAAAGUGAGAAAGUGCAAAACCACAGGGGUGGUUUUUAAAGUUUACCCAAACUUUUUAUUAGGGAUGUUAACUGGUCGGAUUUGGGGAGGAUUUUCAAAAACUCGAACCUGAUGGAUUUUGAAAAUUCAUAUCCAAAUUUGAAUUUGACCAAAAAUUUGAAAUUAGAAUCCAAAAAUCCGAACAUAAAAUAAUUAUUUCUCUUUACCAUAUUUCAAAAUAUAUUAUAUAAAAAUUUAAAAUUUUAAAAUACAAGUUCAAAUAUAACAUCAAAUAUUCAUAUAUAUAUUAUGCAAUGUAAAAUCAAUCCGGGUUUGAGUUUGGGUUCGGAUCAAAUCCAAAACAUGUUGGGUUUUAAUUUUUUAUACCCGAAUUUAAAACCAUAUCUGUUUAGCUUCAGAUAAUUCCAUCUCAUUCGAAUUUAGAUUUAGAUAAAAUUUUGAGUAUUCAUAUCUAUUGACAUCCCUUGUGUUAGUAUAAGCGACAGAAGCAGAGAGGGCGAUAUUACAGUCUGGAGGAAAAGAAAAAAAAAAAAGAAAAAAGGAUUAAUUAUGAGAUAUGAUUUGAUAUAAUAUGGAGCCAUGUAAAAUUCAAAGAUAAGAAAAAUAGAUAGAAAAACAAAAUAAUUGUCUAUAUAUCUCUAAAAGUUUCGAAAAUAUCUUAUUUAUCUAUACUUUUUUUUCUCUUUCCAAUAUACCUCUCAUAUAUUCCAAUGUUAUCUCAAAAUAUUUCUAUAUUGCCACCCGUUAAGUUAACUUGGGUUAAAUAUGAGUUAAAUAUCUAUCAGAAUUAAAAUAAAUCAAAAUGUCUUUUUUGACUUUAACUUAAGAGCAAAUAAAAAAUAUUGGUGGUGGUAAAAGGAUAUAUUUAAAAACACAAAAAUUAAAAUAUCUAUUAUGCCCUAGCUUAUGGGUAAAUAAGAAAAAUCGGUGAUUAUAGAUGGCUAUAUUUGAACGGGUAAAAUAGUAAUUUUAUAGAAAUAACAAGUAUUGCUAACAGUUUAUUAAUAAAAUUUAAAGUUAUAUUUGAAAUAGGUUGGAAUGUUAAAAAAUAUUUUCAAUAUUAGUCUUCUAAGAUAUAUAGAUAAAUUAGAAAGUCAGAAACAUUUCAGGAAUAUAUAAGUAAUUGUCCCGGAAAAAAAACUCUCCGUUGUACAUUAGAUA
rnacentral:lncRNA from 1 species